rnacentral:lncRNA from 1 species
UGAUCCACCCGCCUCAGCCUCCCAAAGUGCUGGGAUUACAGGCAUGAGCCACCGCGCCCGGCCGAAUCUGCCUUUCACAGGUGCAGCGUAGUCUGUUGUCCCACCAUUAGCUUUGCUUUUAAUACGGCCAACCCACUCCAGCCCCUUCCCUGGAGCCUGGCGGACCCAGCUCAUCCAGGCGUUACUGAAAGUGAAUCCAGAGGCUGCACAGGAGAGUCUCAGGGACCCCCCAGGCUGGACCAAGCCUCCCCCAGACUCCACCAGCUGCACCUCACACUGCACACCU